rnacentral:rRNA from 1 species
GAUGAACGCUGGCGGCGUGCUUAACACAUGCAAGUCGAACGGUGAAGGCGGAGAUUGCUCUGCUGGAUAAGUGGCGAACGGGUGAGUAACACGUGAGCAAUCUGCCCCUGACUCUGGGAUAAGCGCUGGAAACGGCGUCUAAUACUGGAUACGAGCUGCGCAGGCAUCUUCAGCAGCUGGAAAGAAUUUCGGUCAGGGAUGAGCUCGCGGCCUAUCAGCUUGUUGGUGAGGUAAUGGCUCACCAAGGCGUCGACGGGGAGCCGGCCUGAGGGGGUGACCGGCCACACUGGGACUGAGACACGGCCCAGACUCCAACGGGAGGCAGCAGUGGGGAAUAUUGCACAAUGGGCGAAAGCCUGAUGCAGCAACGCCGCGUGAGGGACGACGGCCUUCGGGUUGUAAACCACUUUUAGCAGGGAAGAAGCGAAAGUGACGGUACCUGCAGAAAAAGCGCCGGCUAACUACGUG